UACGUAGGGUGCGAGCGUUGUCCGGAAUUAUUGGGCGUAAAGAGCUCGUAGGCGGUGUGUCACGUCGGCCGUGAAAACCUGCAGCUUAACUGUGGGCGUGCGGUCGAUACGGGCAUCACUGGAGUUCGGCAGGGGAGACUGGAAUUCCUGGUGUAGCGGUGAAAUGCGCAGAUAUCAGGAGGAACACCGGUGGCGAAGGCGGGUCUCUGGACAGUUCCUGACACUGAGACACGAAGGCCAGGGGAGCAAACGGG
rnacentral:rRNA from 1 species